AGGUCGUGGUGGUCCCGGACUCCUUCCCUCUCCCAUGUCCGUGCAAGAUGGGCGGCGACUUCCGGGUGGCGGUCCCACUGGCGCUGUUGGUCAUCAAGUUGGACCCAUGGGUGGUUCCAUGGUUGGGCAUCAGGAAAUCCGACGUCGCCGAUGAACGAGGGUCAACGAGGAAUAAAUCAUCAGUUAGAAAGUAUUGGGGAUGAUUCCUGCGUGUUGGCACGAAAGGCUGGUUGGAGAACACGGCUCACCACCGACAGACACACUGACUGUUGACAAUAGGAAUCACUCGCAAGGGCGCGCCUAAAGAACAAGGACCUCGCGCGUUAACAAAUCGGUCUCGUCAAUUCAAUUUCCACUUCCUCGAGCAACGUCAGGACUCUCGUCGGAGGGCUUUUCUCUCAGCUGCUACGAGAACGAUCCGAGAGGUGCGUUAAAAAUUAAUAAUAAAAAAAGAAACAAAAACAAGGGGGAGAGAGAGAGAAAGAGAGAGAGAGAGGAAAUAAUUAAGUCCUACGGGGUGAAGAACGGCGGGACCUGCACGUAACGUCUCGUCUCACUUUCAUGGUUGCCUUACGCAUCUACAUAAAAAAUUGCGUGUCAGUAUGUAUAUAUAACUUGGAUAUCUAUUUAUAUAUCUAUAUAUGUACAACGAAAGGAUUCGACAACGAUUCAAUUUUCUUUUUUUGUUCUUUUCAACUAGGAAAGAGGUGCGCCCGUGAAAACAACGCGUCAAGACACUCAACACAUCCUCGAAGAGCCCCUCGUCAGGUGUCGUGCACUCUUAUGGUAAAUAUGCGCCGCUAAAGACACCGGGCAUUGUUUAAAAACGAGGUGAAAAAUAACAAAAAAAAAAUAAAAAUAAAAAGAGAAACAAAGAAAACAUCGAAUGAACUAACUAAGGCAACGAGGCUCCGGCGAUCCCGCACGCAGAAGGGGAUUCCGAUGUCAACGCGUUAAAAGGAAUUUCACCCUUCUUCUCCCGUACUUCCACCUCUUUUGCACCUUCGACCUCGAACACCGGGAAAAUGCAACUCGAUCGGUGUUGCGGUUAAACAGUGGAUGCACAGUUUCCCAGAUAACGCGCGACACUCUUGGCCGAGUGCCAGGUAACGAUCGCUUACAUGAUCUAUCGUUUGAUUGUACAGGACUAAAAGUAAUUAUGUACAUGUAAUUGUAAAGAGUGGAGUAAAUGGCGGACUAGUGGGAAGGUCAUUAAAUCCCAUUUUCCCGGUCUCGGAUAAUGGCCGAUAACGAGGCUGACCGAGGCCUGCUUAUCGUCGCCAUCGGACAAGGUAACGAUUCCGAUGAGCCUGAACACCCAGCAUCGAGACCAUCAGAAUUCGGCAAAGCGUUCCGAUUUCCGGAUCGAGUCGGGUGAUCGAGACUAGGAGGCACUGAUCGAUAAUAUUAACUGGAUAGCUGAUACUUAUUUCUCGUCCAUACGGAAAGGUGAGGGAGAAACUCAAGGCACAGCCGGCACCUCUGAAUACGUCAGAGGCAUCAAAGAAGUACCGUCUACGCAUGUGCAGAGGGAGCUGCAGUGCCCUGAAGUUCUUUUUCCAAUAAUCGUGCGGAUACUCCUUUCGAAAGACGCGCCGCUGCCGACGCAUGCGCGGAUACUACAGUGUCUGUUGACGUGCCCGAAAUCGGAGGCACGUGGUCGCUAUCAAUCGCCACGCCAUUUUGUGGGGGGUAGCAGCUAUCCGGUUAAGCUAGAGAUCAGAGCUCGGAGGUCGAAGGUGCAAGGGCGAGAACCACCAGAGACUACGGGUCACAGCCCCGUUCAGGAACGAGGAUCGUCCCGAAGGGCUUCGGAAGCAUCCUGGGAUUUGUCUCGAUAUUCGGGCCCCUCCUGAUUUCUCACCGGAGCGAUCCUCGCGCGUGCUUAUCUAAACAAACCAGAAUGCAUUAAUCCUAGAUUCGAUAAGAAACGAUUCGCGAGUUCUAUGGCUAGGGAUCUCUCGUUUUACGUCUAGACUAAAAUUAGAAGCGUUUCUCGUCCUGUAUUCAGCGCCUGAGGGAGGUUCUCUCAUUUUCGGAUCGGCGGGGAAAGCCGGCGCAAGCCCACGCAAGGGUGACUCCCAUCAAUGGCCUUUGGCACGGUCGAGUUUGGCAUUCGGUGGCUCAAGGACGAAUCCCUGCGUCGAUAAGCAUGCGUUUAAGUCGAGACCCUGUUAGGAAGCGUUCUAUGGCAUGAAAACACAGAAUUCUGAGGUAGGAACCCGUUAGUAGGCGGAAGGAAGAGAGAACGGAGUGGCUCGCCUUUGGCACGACCGCGUACUUCUGGGUGUAAGGUCUCCGCUUUACUUCGCCUAGUUUCUUCCGACCGACCCACUCUUCCAUCGGUCCAUCGCGUAAAGGAAACUAGACGCGCUCGCAAGGUUUUACUUUUCCCUCGUUCCGGCGACUCUACACUUUCUACGGUCAGGCACAUAGAAUUAUAGUCCCAGUCAAUGCCUCCGACGAACCAACGCGCCAUCUUCGAAACUCCCCUAUCUUCGGCGUAUCGUACAUAUUCUCAAUGUCUCUCGGACUCCCCCUGUACGCGACGUAAUAUUAAAUCUUGUUUAAAAGGAGUCUACUCCAGCGCCACUCGGCGCGUCGGGAGCCAUCUAACUCCCGAGAAGGAACUAAAGUUUCAAGAUGGCCGCCGCGUCUCAAGAUGGCGGACCGACCGAUCGGCGUCGUCUCUUCGAGGGAGAACUCGCCCCGAAUCUCGACGAAAACUCCUCGCGAGUCCCUCAAUUUCGCCCUUCGCUCUUCGAUCACAACUGCCUGAGGUACGUUCGAACGGGAAUUCUAACCUCUAAUCCGAGUCUCGGGUACGUUCCAGGGAUAUAAAACUCGAAGACGGACAUCGAACGGUAACCUCGGUCGGGUCUUUCUCCCGAGUCCAGUCCUCGGGCUUCGAGGCUCCCUCUCUUUCUCUCUUUGACGGCGCCUCGCCAUAACCUCAAAACUCUGCCCCUCUCUGUCCCUUUUCUCUCUCUCUCCGUGGCGCGAGCCGG